rnacentral:lncRNA from 1 species
AGCAUGGAAAAUGCCGGAAAAUUGAUGGCUAAGAAAAUAUCUCUCUUUAUUUUCUGGUCAAGGGUUAAGAAAAGAUGGAGAUUAAUCGGGGAUUCAUGUCAUGUACACAGUUUCACGGGCCUCAUCAACGUUAAAAGUGAGGAAGUGAGAAAAAUGAUUUAUUUCUUGUUAAAUAUUCAAUAUGCAGCAUGUGCGAGCGUGCAGGUGACUGGUGUGUAUAUAUACAUUUACAAGAACAUUCUGAGGAAAUUGGUUAGGAACUUAAGCUUAGUGUUAUGUGGCUUAAAUUUUCAUAAUUGUGUAGAGGGAAGUCUUCCAUAUGACCUGUGUAUGUGGAGCUGCAUAUUGUAAGAAUAAUCUGACCUUUUUGAACCCGAAAAUGAAAUCAUUGGCGACUUCAAUAUAUAGUAAGUUUUUGCUCUAUUGCAAAAAUAAUAUGCUCAAUUUACAACAGGUCUAAGUUCAAUAAUGAACAUCAUUUUCUGUGACAGUAGGGACCAGUAUUUAUAGAGGCAAAUACGAUUCUCCUAUUAGAACUCACGUAGAACACCAAUAAUCUCAUUAUCAAACUAUAAGUGGUAAAAAACCAGUUUACAUACUAAGUCUCAUUCCAUGUAAAUUAGGACAAAGUAAUCUUCUUCUCAUAAGACUUCUCUGCACCAAUUUGGAUAAAAUGGCUAUAACAAUCACUUUCUUACUCAUAUUCGUACAUUCUCCCACUUGAGUAUGAACCAUGCUUCUAGCACAACUUUCAAAUUAUAAUAUAAGUGAUAAUUUUUACCACCUGCAAAAGUAUGGUUAAAAACACCUAAAAGUACUUGUAAGAGAACAAGGUAAUUGUAGUAUAAGCUGUGGAUGCAAAUUUCUUCCUCCUUGAUCUUGGACAAUUUUUCACCUACAAAACAAUUAACACCUUAGGUUAAGGCCAAGAGCCUCACGCGCCCACGAUGAAUGGGGGGGCUUUGGCCGAAGAACCUCCGAUGCCAAAGUUAAAAUUUAGAGAGAAAGAGUGUUUAGAGAAUUUUGGGAUUUUUGCCAAAGUGUUGGAAUUGGCUUUUUGGUGAGAAUGAGAGUAUAUUUAUAGGGAUAGGAGGUGGCUAGGGUUUUUUGGGUUUAAUUUAGGUUUAAUUAGGAGUUACCAAAUAAUUAGCCAAUAACUCCCUAAUUAACUUGGCUAAUUAUUUGUCAUACAAAGGAAAAAAGGUAGAAGGAAGGGCUGACUUCUUUUGGGGAUGAAAGCUAACUGGCCUUUUUGUGGGAGUU